AACGAACGCUGGCGGCAUGCCUAACACAUGCAAGUCGAACGAACCCUUCGGGUUUAGUGGCGCACGGGUGCGUAACGCGUGGGAAUCUGCCCUUUGCUUCGGAAUAACAGUUAGAAAUGACUGCUAAUACCGGAUGAUGUCUUCGGACCAAAGAUUUAUCGGCAAAGGAUGAGCCCGCGUAGGAUUAGGUAGUUGGUGGGGUAAAGGCCUACCAAGCCGACGAUCCUUAGCUGGUCUGAGAGGAUGAUCAGCCACACUGGGACUGAGACACGGCCCAGACUCCUACGGGAGGCAGCAGUGGGGAAUAUUGGACAAUGGGCGCAGGCCUGAUCCAGCAAUGCCGCGUGAGUGAUGAAGGCCUUCGGGUCGUAAAGCUCUUUUACCAGGGAUGAUAAUGACAGUACCUGGAGAAUAAGCUCCGGCUAACUCCGUGCCAGCCGCCGCCGUAACAC
rnacentral:rRNA from 1 species